rnacentral:rRNA from 1 species
GAGUUUGAUUAUGGCUCAGGAUGAACGCUGGCGGCAUGCCUAACACAUGCAAGUUGAACGAGAAGUUCUGGAGGGAGUCUUCGGAUGAACGAAGGGAUGGAAAGUAGCGAACGGGUGAGUAACGCGUGGGCAACCAACCUUACACAGAGGGAUAACACAGAGAAAUCUGUGCUAAUACCGCAUAAGCGCACAGUACUGCAUAGUACGGUGUGAAAAACUCCGGUGGUGUAAGACGGGCCCGCGUCUGAUUAGCUAGUUGGUAGGGUAAAAGCCUACCAAGGCAACGAUCAGUAGCCGACCUGAGAGGGUGAUCGGCCACAUUGGGACUGAGACACGGCCCAAACUCCUACGGGAGGCAGCAGUGGGGGAUAUUGCACAAUGGAGGAAACUCUGAUGCAGCAAUGCCGCGUGAAGGAAGAAGGUCUUCGGAUUGUAAACUUCUAUCAGCAGGGAAGAAAAUG